UCCUUGUCCCCACCCCCUGACAUGUCCUAGUCAGGAGGGAAGCAGCUCCCUCGGUGCCCUGGCUGGGGCUGUACCUCGCAACAGCGGAUAGGGCCCGCGCCUUCCAACAAUCAAGUCACUUUUCUGUGCUUCAGUACCCACAUCUGCACAUCAGAGUCAUGAUAGUGCAUAUCUUAGAGGGUUGUGGUAAGGAUUCAAUGAGUUAAUAGAAUAGAACAUCCAGCAGGGUGCCUGCGUGCAGAGGGUCCUCGGUAGGUAUCACCCACCAUUUUUAUCACACGAGGAAUUCUAGAAAUCCUCCACACGAUAUAUUUUCCACACGUUCUCACCCUGAAAUUCUUCCUCUGCUUAUUUUUUUGGGAUGGUAGCACUUUCAAAACUCCUUUUCAGAAACAUGGGUCAGUACCUCACAACACAGCGUCGGGGUUAAGAACAGGGACUUGAGGUCUGGCUAGCUGGGUGACAGUCAGGUGGUUCUACAGCCUCUCUGAGCUUGACUUUCUUUUCUUUCGGUAAUGACAGACUCUGAAAGAUUCUUCACCACAGUGUGCAGCACAGCAUGGGGGCCGGUCCAGGGAGUCGACUCACCACACCAGGCCCCCACCCACGCCCACGAGGCUGGUCCUGGCUUGGACUCCAGAGGUGACUGUGCCCAUUAAGCCCCCUCCUAGGUUCACCUUUGCCUCAGUCCAGGUGAUUUCUGCGGAGUGCAUCGGGCAGAUCCCCAGCGCUAGUGGCUCUGGGACAUUUUCCACCUCCGCUCCCCAGGGAUUAAUUUCAGGCUGCACCCAAGGGGCCCAAGAAGAUCCCUCAUCUGGAGCUGCUUCGCUGGGGGCUGGAGCUUGGAGGAAGCAUAUUGCUUGAGUGCUUGGCUGUUGCCUGAGCAGGAGGAGGCAGCCCACCUGAACCUGCAGAGCCUUGAGGAGAUCACCCCAGGCACUCUUUCUACCUUCUGGAUGCCCAGGAGAUGAGAAUGUACCUGUGGAGAUCCAGGCCGGAGCUAGUGACUGGCCAGGCCUUCUGAUGCUACGGUGGAGAGAACUUGCCAAGCUGGUUUCAAGGCCUCUUUAGCAGCCAGAGUUGAAGGUACAGUGGGAAAAGUAUAGGCUUUGGGUCAACAGAUCAGGGACAGGAACAAAGGCCUGUUCAUUACCACAGAGGGGCAGAGGAGAGCCAGGCCCUGCUUGCAGCUCCCCCAAAGCCUCUCCAUUAGGUGUGCUGUUUCAUAGUGUGGUGUCCUGUGCAGGUUAUUGACCUCCCUAGGCCUCAGACUUCAUCUGUAAAUGGUCCAGUCUCACCUGCCACCCUGGGUUGGUUUGAUGACUCAGUUAGAAAAAGCUGACCCAAUCUGGCACACAGUAGGUGCUCAGUCUAUGAUGGUGACCUUUCCCCCCAACUUCCUUGGGGGCUGGAUUGGUGUUCUGAGGAUGAAGACCUAGGAAGUCUUUACCUAUGACUCACAAGGACAUGAGGCUGAGUGUGUGCAGUGUCCACGGCCCUCAAACCUGUACCUGCUGAUGGCUUGUCUGUUUGUGGUAGAAAUGUCUGGGAAUAUCGAGGGGGAAGAGGAAAUCUUAGGCCAGAGAAUGGGUACACCGCUUGUCGAGUGUCCCUUCAGGGCUCAGAAGAUAAGGGGAAGAUGACAUAGGAGAUGAAAGCCACGGAUUUGGGGAGCUUCCUGAUUUCCCCAUGAGGAAGAGGGAUCAAAGGAGUAAGAGGAGUCAUGUAAAGCAGAGUGAACCUGGAAAUUGAGUGAAACUUGCUGAUGAUGGUUUUGUAAAGGUCCAAAGCAGAGGCUUCUUAAUUCGAAUCCAAACUGAGAGCCCCACGCUCCCUGGAGGAGACGGUGUUGUCUCGGGUCUUCUCAGGGUCAGUCCUGGGUGGUGGAGCUCAGAGGCUGUUACCUGAGGGGAGGACUGGGUGGCUGGGGACAGGCAGCUGGGAAAGCCACAGGGCUCCUUUGCUUUCUGUGGAGCUUUCUGUGGAGCUGUCCGUGGUGCUGGCCAUCGUUCCCUCCUGGCACUGCCUGACUGGCCACCCCUGCCCCCUCCAACCUGAGGCUCUGCCAGACUUGUCACCGGCAGAGCUCCCACCCCAGUCCUCAGUGCUGAGGCCUGAGCAAGUACCAGUGCCUUCAGACAUCCCGAUCACUAACCCCAGCCUGCACCCAAUGCUGAUCUGAAGCCCAGCUCUACCCCUCAUCCCUUCCUCAAUCACUAGCAUCACUUCCAACCUCAACCCUAGUAUUGAUUUGAACUUGGGGUUGGGUACAGCACUGGCUUCUCCCUCCCUCAGCUCCCCUCUCUGGUCACUGUGAUCAUGGUUGAGCCUUUGUGGCAGGCACGGAGGGGUACAGAAGUAUGUCCUAUAUGAUUCUUUCUCUUGAGGACCUUGGCUGUGUGCUCCUCCUGCACUCGCUGGCAGACGGAGGAGCCCAGGCAUUAACAAUGGUCAGUGUCAGCAUAGGUAGCAUUCUCCCAGAAGAACGUCUUCAGAGGAAAUGCCACCAUCAUUUCCCAAAGGCAAAGGGAGUGGACUGCGGAGUGCACUAUGGAGUGCUUUGCAUUCUGCCACGGUUCUGCCCCUGCUGCGUGUCCAUGACUUCUGCAUCCCAGAGCCUUUGGGCCACUGUACAUGUAGCACAGGUGCGGGGAGGAAGAGAAGAGCUUCUCCUCUCCCAGGGACAAUAGAACAGAGGGGGACACAGUCCACCUUGUUUGUAUGUAAAAUUCUGAGGAGUCCUGACUAGUGCAGGAAGUAUCAGGCACAGAGUGCCCACCAUGGCAAGUCCCUCACAGAUCUCCACACCCUCACUGAACGGAGUGAGAAAGUCAAAGGUCCAGAGAGGUUAGGUGACUUGCCUCUGAUCACAACAAUAGUAGGUGGAAGAGUUAGGAACUGAAUAAAUCCUUCUGGCUGCCAGUCCUAGAAGCUGAAGAGGACCAAGGAGGAGACUUCCUGCAGGAGACCCGACAACCAACUGAAAAGUUCUCUGUGUUCCUCCUCCUGGGUCCACGGCUGCUGCUCUUCCACCCAUGGUGCUUGGGGUUUUCUGCCUGGCCAAAGGAGGUGGCCCUCAUCCUGUUUGCCCUUGAAGAAAGAGGACCUAGGAACAUGGCUUCCAAAACAGUGCUUGAGCUCUGGGGCCAGCCCUGAGGCCGCUGCGUGCCUUUCUGACCCGGCAACGGGUGAGACCCCCUUGCCACUCACCACCCAAUGUCUGAAAUUAGCAGCAGCCUAAUCUCUCCCUGCCAUAUCACUCAGUGGGGUAAUUGUGCAGGAAAAAAAAUGUAUUAAAAUGCAAAACACUCAGUU